rnacentral:rRNA from 1 species
UACAGAGGUCCCAAGCGUUGUUCGGAUUCACUGGGCGUAAAGGGUGCGUAGGCGGUCGGGUAAGUCUGAUGUGAAAUCUCACAGCUUAACUGUGAAACUGCAUUGGAUACUAUUCGGCUUGAGGUCUGGAGGGGGGACUGGAAUUUACGGUGUAGCAGUGAAAUGCGUAGAGAUCGUAAGGAAGGCCAGUGGCGAAGGCGAGUUCCUGGACAGUUACUGACGCUGAGGCACGAAGGCCAGGGGAGCAAACGGG